rnacentral:lncRNA from 1 species
UGACUUUCUAGUGACUAGGACAAGGUCAGACAAGCACGUGUUCAGCUGUUAUGGCUGCUGACAGUGGCAGGCAUCUGACCUUAGUGACUAAGACAAGGUUAGACAAGCUGUUAUGGCUGCUGAAAUGGGAAGCUGAUCCCUUCAAGAUGUCUUAUGAAGAUAAAUGCCCUCCAGAGGAGGUUUUUUUUUAAAGAUUUACUUAUUUUAGUUCUUUUGUGUAUGAAUGUUUUUGCCUGCAUGUAUGUAAGUGUACCAUGUAUACCCUGGUACCCAGAUAGUUCCGAAAUGGGCAUCAUUUUCCAUGGAAAUGGCGUUAUGGAUGAUUUUGAACCACCAUGUAGGUGCUGGGAACUGAAGUCCUCUGAAAGAGCAGCCAUUGCUCUUAACUGCUGAGUCAUCUUUCCGGCCCGCUUCAGAGAAUUGUAAAUUUGACUGAAGAGGACUGGUGUACAUAUUUCCGAAAUCUGGGGUGGAGAUUGUGAGGUUCUACGCAACCAGCACCGGGCAUCAACACUAGGAUGUGGAAUUAAAC